rnacentral:rRNA from 1 species
UACGUAGGGUCCGAGCGUUGUCCGGAAUUAUUGGGCGUAAAGGGCUCGUAGGCGGUUUGUCGCGUCGGGAGUGAAAACCUACAGCUUAACUGUGGGCUUGCUUUCGAUACGGGCAGACUUGAGGCAUGCAGGGGAGAACGGAAUUCCUGGUGUAGCGGUGAAAUGCGCAGAUAUCAGGAGGAACACCGGUGGCGAAGGCGGUCUCUGGGCAUGUUCUGACGCUGAGGAGCGAAAGUGUGGGAGGCGAACAGG